AAUAAAUAUGGAUGAGUUACGAAUGUGUUUAUAAGAGAUGCUCGGGCUGAGGCUGAGGCAAUGUGAGAGUUUGGGGCUGAGGCAAUUCACAAUUACAGAAGCAGUGAGAGCUUGAGAGGGAGAUUGAUCAGCAGUAAGAUCACAAAGCAUAGCCUGAGAUUUGUUGAAACAUGGCCGAAGAAAAUGUUCUUUUGAGGCUAGAUGGUCGACACAUUUUGAGUAAUUUGGGAGAACUGGAUGAAGAACAACGAGUCCUUCGUCCUCGACUUAUCAACUGUGAGAUGCCAGAUCAACGUAUUGUUGAUAAUUUGAAAACAGUGGGUUUUUAUGAUGUUGCUUUUGUAAGAGAAUUUCGGUUGA